AAAUUGAAGAGUUUGAUCAUGGCUCAGAUUGAACGCUGGCGGCAGGCCUAACACAUGCAAGUCGAGCGGAAACGAGUUAUCUGAACCUUCGGGGACGAUAACGGCGUCGAGCGGCGGACGGGUGAGUAAUGCCUAGGAAAUUGCCCUGAUGUGGGGGAUAACCAUUGGAAACGAUGGCUAAUACCGCAUGACGCCUACGGGCCAAAGAGGGGGACCUUCGGGCCUCUCGCGUCAGGAUAUGCCUAGGUGGGAUUAGCUAGUUGGUGAGGUAAGGGCUCACCAAGGCGACGAUCCCUAGCUGGUCUGAGAGGAUGAUCAGCCACACUGGAACUGAGACACGGUCCAGACUCCUACGGGAGGCAGCAGUGGGGAAUAUUGCACAAUGGGCGCAAGCCUGAUGCAGCCAUGCCGCGUGUGUGAAGAAGGCCUUCGGGUUGUAAAGCACUUUCAGUCGUGAGGAAGGUAGUGUAGUUAAUAGCUGCAUUAUUUGACGUUAGCGACAGAAGAAGCACCGGCUAACUCCGUGCCAGCAGCCGCGGUAAUACGGAGGGUGCGAGCGUUAAUCGGAAUUACUGGGCGUAAAGCGCAUGCAGGUGGUUUGUUAAGUCAGAUGUGAAAGCCCGGGGCUCAACCUCGGAAUAGCAUUUGAAACUGGCAGACUAGAGUACUGUAGAGGGGGUAGAAUUUCAGGUGUAGCGGUGAAAUGCGUAGAGAUCUGAAGGAAUACCGGUGGCGAAGGCGGCCCCCUGGACAGAUACUGACACUCAGAUGCGAAAGCGUGGGGAGCAAACAGGAUUAGAUACCCUGGUAGUCCACGCCGUAAACGAUGUCUACUUGGAGGUUGUGGCCUUGAGCCGUGGCUUUCGGAGCUAACGCGUUAAGUAGACCGCCUGGGGAGUACGGUCGCAAGAUUAAAACUCAAAUGAAUUGACGGGGGCCCGCACAAGCGGUGGAGCAUGUGGUUUAAUUCGAUGCAACGCGAAGAACCUUACCUACUCUUGACAUCCAGAGAACUUUCCAGAGAUGGAUUGGUGCCUUCGGGAACUCUGAGACAGGUGCUGCAUGGCUGUCGUCAGCUCGUGUUGUGAAAUGUUGGGUUAAGUCCCGCAACGAGCGCAACCCUUAUCCUUGUUUGCCAGCGAGUAAUGUCGGGAACUCCAGGGAGACUGCCGGUGAUAAACCGGAGGAAGGUGGGGACGACGUCAAGUCAUCAUGGCCCUUACGAGUAGGGCUACACACGUGCUACAAUGGCGCAUACAGAGGGCGGCCAACUUGCGAAAGUGAGCGAAUCCCAAAAAGUGCGUCGUAGUCCGGAUUGGAGUCUGCAACUCGACUCCAUGAAGUCGGAAUCGCUAGUAAUCGUGGAUCAGAAUGCCACGGUGAAUACGUUCCCGGGCCUUGUACACACCGCCCGUCACACCAUGGGAGUGGGCUGCAAAAGAAGUAGGUAGUUUAACCUUCGGGGGGACGCUUACCACUUUGUGGUUCAUGACUGGGGUGAAGUCGUAACAAGGUAGCGCUAGGGGAACCUGGCGCUGGAUCACCUCCUUA
rnacentral:rRNA from 1 species